ensembl:lncRNA
CCACUUUCCAAAAUAUCCCAUCCUUUCACAACCCCUUACCAUCCAUCUACAGAAAGCAAAAAAAAAAAGAAAAGAAAAUAAUGUUAAAACGUAUUCUUACACAUAACACUGAAAUGAAAUCUCAGCUCUGGCCCACAUCACACACACACACACACACAGACCUGCGUGAAAAAAAAAAAAAAGCUUGCUAAGCUAUCCGUUUCACAUACGCAGGGACAGAAGGUUCGAUAUUCAUUCGAUCGAUGAAUGAAAAGGCACAAUGGCAAAAUCGGACGGGGCUCCUUUUCAAAUCCACGUCUCCAAUGUCCCCCUCCCCGUCACCCCUCUGCAGUCUGCAGUCGCAGGGCGGCCGGAGCGGCAGAGAGAGAAAGAGAGAGAGAGGAGAGCAAGGGUUACAUCAAGGCUGCUCCCUGGACCGUGCAAACAAGUCUAGACCAGUGACCUGUUCAAUGGCUCCUUUUCAGGAGCGGGGGCAAGUUCGCUCAGAGCGAGGAGAAAGGCAGGCAUGCUCUCUUUUCAGCGGCGAAGCAGCUCACAGCCCGCAACCGCCAGGAGAGGGAGAAGAGUGAAAACUUGAGCUGCCCUGGACCCAUCAAGAACCACCGAGGCGAGACAGAUUCUGAAACCGGAAGCAGAGCAGUGGUCGAGUGUCUCUCUCUCUCUGUGUGAGUGUCUCUCUCAGCCCACAUGUGCAAGGCGCUCCGCCGCAGUUGUGUGCAGUCAAUAAAAGUGUCAGACAGGAGGGGAACAGACGAAGGGCUGGAUAAUUAGAGCACAGCUUCUCCUGGAAGACUGCUCCAUGCCUCUGCCCAGGUGCUCUCACACUGAGAGGGAGAGAGAGAGAGAGAGAGAGAGAGAGAGAGAGAGAGAGAGAGAGAGAGAGAGAGAGAG